rnacentral:rRNA from 1 species
UACCAGCACCCCGAGUGGUCGGGACGUUUUAUUGGGCCUAAAGCAUCCGUAGCCGGUUCUACAAGUCUUCCGUUAAAUCCACCUGCUUAACAGAUGGGCUGCGGAAGAUACUAUAGAGCUAGGAGGCGGGAGAGGCAAGCGGUACUCGAUGGGGUAGGGGGUAAAAUCCGUUGAUCCAUUGAGGACCACCAGUGGCGAAGGCGGCUGCCAGAACGCGCUCGGACGGUGAGGGAUGAAAGCUGGGGGGAGCAAACCGG